CAAAUGAAAUGUAAAAUAUUGCAGGAAGUAUUACAAUUAAAAUUUAUACAGCCAUAUACAGGCACAGUAAGUUUCAUACAACAUGCCAAUCCCUAACAUGCUACCAAAUACAACCUCCAUGAGUUCAGGGGCUUUUGUCUGUUAUGCUUACUACUGAGAUAGAGAGGUAGAAAUCAUUUUCUUAGGAAUUUAUAAAUAAUCACAUAUUUUGACCUCAAUGACGCUAUGAGUAGAUUUACAUGAAAAUUUUAACAAUAAUUUAGAAAUACACACACACAAGCCAAUCCUCAUUAUGUGCAGAUUCUGCGUUUUCAAAUUUGUCUACGUGACAAAAUUUAUCUGUAACCAAAGCCAAUACUCUUGGCACUUACAAAGGCAUUUGCAGAGGGGCAAAAUAUUUGAGUUGGCUGACAGCAGGUUCCUGACAUCGAACAAGACAACACUCUGCGUUGUUGUUUCAGUUUUCAUACUGUAAACAUGUGUCUGAUUCAGGAUCUAUUUAGUACCACAUUUUUUACAUUUCUGUACUUAUUGUUGGUGAUUUUGCUGUUUUAAAUGGCCUCCAACAUGGUGUGGAAGUGCUAUCUUAUCUAAGCACAAGAAGACUAUGACGGGCCUUACAGAGAAAAUAUUUGUUAGUUAAGCUUCAUUCAAGCGUGACUUAUAGUCCUAUUGACUGUGAGUUAAAUGCUAAUGAAUCAACAAACAGUAUAUCCAGAAAAAGGAAGAGGAAAUUUGCUGAUUUGUACACAAGACCAUUCCAGAAACUGCUGAAGUAACGUUUAUAGCAUAUAAUGAAGCUAUGGAACAGUUGGAAAAAAAUGGCUAAAUUUGUGAAUUCAUGAGAUGACAACUGAUUAGGAAAAAACCAUAGUGGACAGCACUAUUGUAAGGCUCAAAGUCAAAGAAAAUUACAAUAAUGUUACCCAGGGUCAGGAAAAUGUUAAAUCCUUCUCAGCUAGUGCUGUCUGCCUCACACAUUUCAAAAGGUGAUAUGGCGUGAAAAAUGCUAAACUUGCAGGCAAGCAGCCUGUUCAGUUCAGGAGGCAGCAAAAGAAUGUUGAAAAUAUCUGCUAAGUGUUAUACAGGAAAAGGGUCAUAGGGAAGAGCAGGAUUUUAAUGCAAUUGUGACUGGUUUAUUUUACAUAGACUUGGGCAAAGGAACCUGUAUAACACAAAUGACCUCCAAAGCCACCGGCUCUAAAUCAUUCAAAGACUGUUCAAUCAAUUAUUUGUAAGAAAUAUAUAUACAUAUAUAUAUAUAAAACAUAAGGUGCUUUAAACAGAAUAACACAUAAAACAAGGUUAUGCAUUGAUUGGCUGAUGAAAAUAUGAUCAGAGACUCACAGGCAUCAAACCUUCUAUUUCUCCUAAGGGCAGUGGUUUCAUAUUUGCUAAUUAAAUGCUCAUGACAGCUUUAUAGAACCGAACUACCAUGGAUAAUGUAAUAAUUGACACUGUGUGUUUGUGGGUGUGGAUUUGUGUCUGACACUAGACCAUUACCAAUACAGUUGGAUAGUCAAACUAAAUAAAUAAUUUUAUGACAACUUAUUGUCAAAGGAAAAACAGAAAACACAUCUGUGUGGUUCUUACUUUGAUAAGUAAUUCUUCUGUGCUGCCCAUUAUUUACACCUUUCCAGACAUCAGGGUCAGCUCUCCUUUUGUGUGCUCCUUUACUUCUGUGGUGAAGGCUCAGGACUAAGUGGGCAGGCCUGCCCCUUGCAGUGUGUUGACACAGCUACUCAAAGGGACAUUAUGAAACUGACUUAGUAUACCUUCUAUAUGUUCUAACUUCAUCUGUAAAGGGCAGUGACUUUUCUGCUACUGUAGUUCUUUUAGCACCCUUUGCCCUGGACACUCAACAUAACAUAGAAAUUCCAUUUUCACUGUGGAAAUAAAGAGCAACUUCUAAACAAGAACAGAGGAUUUUUUCAGAGUUUGAUAUAGCAAGAGAGUCAGCUACUAUUAUUUUUGUGCUCGAGUCAAAUAAUUACACCCCAAAGAUGUCCAUGUCCUAAUCCCCGGAACCUGUGAGUAUGCUAUCUUACAUAUCUAUACGAGAUAUCUUAUGCAUCUAUGUUACGGAAAAAGGGACUUUCCUAGAUGUGAUUCACUUUUAAGGAUCUUGAGAUGAGGAAUUACCCUGGAUAAUACAGGUAGGCCCAUUGUAAUCAGAUGAUCCUUAUAAGAGAGUCAAGACAAUCACAGUCAAAAGAGACAGGAAAACAGAAGCAGAGGUCAGAGUGAUGCAGCCAAGUCUCAAGGAAUGUGGACAGCCUAGAGAAGCUGGUAAAGACAAAGAAUGGAUCUCCUCUAGAGGCUCGAGAAGAAAUGCUGCUCUGAUAGGCCCUUGAUUUUAGCCUUGUAAAAUGCAUUCAGACUUCCGAUCUCCAGAACUGGAAGAUAAUAAAUUUGUGUCACUUUAAGCUGCUAAAUUUGUGGUAAUUUGUUACAGUCACAAUAGGGAACUAAUACAACUUGCACUUGGCACAAAUUCAAAGACAGGCAAGGAGUAGGAAAACUCUGUAGUGAGAAAAAGGAGGGCUUCAGGUAUACAGAUGCUCCUCAACUUACAAUGACGUUAUGUCCAGAGAAAUUCAUUGUAACUUGAAAGUCGGGCAAGGCAAAAAUGCAUUUAAUAUCCCAAUAAACACUUUCUAAAGUCAAAAAAUCAGAAAGUAGAACCAUUGUAAGUCAGGGAUCAUUGCACUUUGACUCAAGGUUGUUGGCAUGGGAAAGCUGGAGUUAGAGUGACUCAAAGUGAGGCAUCUCACGCGAUUGGUUAGAAAUCGUAUAUUUUGUCCUCUACUUGGUGCUGAGUCAGAAAUCAGUAAACUAGGGAAGCUGGCAGUCACUGAUGACGUCCUUUUUGUUGUGGACCAGCUGUUGUAGAGAGUGUGAUUUGGCUUUCUGGACUGCUGGCUGCAGAAAUUGUUGGGCAAUGCUCUAUUGUCAUAUUUGAUUAUGAAUAAAAGUGUCCUCCAGAACCUCAACAAAUAGCCUAUCUGGUGUACAUUUUAUGAUACAAUUCCAUUGUCUCUGAUGAGAAGUAAACACCAAUUAUUUUUCCACUGAAGGUAAUAUCUUCUUUUCUCUCUGAAUCUCAUAUUUCUUUUCUACUUUCUCUUUCAUCUUUAGAAGUCUGACAGUGAUGUCACCAAGUAUGAUUUAUUUUUCUUCAGAUUCACUGAAUUUCUUGAAUAUGUGGAUUGAUAUGUUCCAAAACUUUUGGAAAGUUUUCAGCCAUUAUGUGAUCUAUUAAUUCAGUUAUCAUUUAUCUUAACUUCUGGAACUUCAGUUACAUAUAUGUUAGAUCCUCUGACAUUGUCCCAUAGUCUCUGGUGCUUUCUUUUAUUUUUUCCCAUUCUUUUUCCUUAAGUUCUUGUAAACAGAUUUAUCAGAAAAAAAAAAUCAAAUAGACAAUUAACAUACUAUGAAAAAGUGUUCAACCUCAGUAAACAUCAGAGAAAUGCAUAUUAAAAGCAAAAUUAGAUUCCACUAUACAUCCAAAAGAAUUUCUGAAAUUUAAAAAGACAAAAAAUACUAAAUAUUGCUGUUGACAUAUAAUAGCCAAAAUAUCUUGAUCCUACAUAAUGCUCAGACUUCUCUUUGUGAACUAGAUCCACUCUCAUAUUAAUCCAGGAAUUGAAAUACUAUUAUAUAAUCAAUGUAUUUUUCUUUUUACAGGAUUAUACUAAUCAGAAUACUAAUCAAAAAUAAAAUUCUUUUCUUAACCCUAAAUUCCUCUCUAGUAACUGCCUCCCUUCUACAGUUACAUUUACGUUAGUGACUUCUUUCAACACCAUGGGUCUAAAUACAUCUACAUCUUAAUGACUUGUAAACAUAUUUUUAAUUCUAAUCUGUCUCUUAAACUCCAUAUUAAUACAUCUAUCUCCAUUUCCACUUGAAUAUUUUGUAGGUAUCUCAAACUUGAACUCUUGAAUAUCUCCCCACCCCUGAAAAAAACUAUUUCAGUUAGUAAAUGGCAAUUCCAUCUAUCCAAUUGCUUAGUCCAAACACCUUGGAAUUAUCUCUGACUUCUCUUUUACACUUCACAGGUACUCUUUCCCUCAAAAUGCAAGUUUUACCUUAAAAAAUGUCUAAAAUAAGAUCUUUUAUUAUCAUCUUCACCACUUCUAUCCCUUUUAAGUCAUAACCACUGACCUCAUUCAUUUUAGACCUUGCCCUCCAACCAACACAGCAGCCAGAAUGAUCUUUCUAAAACUCAAACUACUCAAUAUGAAGACAAUGAGAAUUGAAGACCUUUAUGAUGAUCCAGCUCCACUUGAUAAGUAGACACGAUGAAGGACAUCAGUUAUUUAAUGAAGGAUUUGACAGGAACAGAAUAUAUUCCAAUAAGACUGAACUGCUUUGAGGAAUCCAGGUUGACUUUCUAGAAGAUGUAAAUGCAUUUGAAGAUUGAAGGAAAGAGUCUACUGGAUUAAUAAAAACAUGUUGAUAUGAGCAAAAGAGGGAAAAAUUGAUGAAGCAUCAUUCUGGAGCUGAUGGGAAGGUUCAAAAUAAUUGGUAGAGGGGCUAACCCUAUAAUGGUGACCACCAUAGUAACCAUUAACUUUGUUAAAGACUCUGUUAAAAAAUUUUAUGAAUUAUCUCAAUUCAUCAUCACAAUAAUCUUAUGAUGCAGGCAGUAUGAUUCCCACUUUACAGAUGACAAACUUAGGAUUCACAAAGAUUAAUAGUAUGCUCAAGGUAGCACAACUAAUCAGUGGUAAAACUGGAAUUUCAAUUAAUAUUUGAGAGCAUUUAUUUUAGAAAACUUGUCAUUGUAAACUCUCUGUCUCUUUGAAAUGUACGUAAAUCUUUUCUAAAGCUAAAUAAAACUUGUCAGCUUUAGGACCCCGGAAUGUCUUUCUCAAGGACCUAGGAAGCAUAUUUUUGAAAUGCAAUCAUCAAGGAAGAUAGGAACCCUACCUCUCACCUUCCGUGGGAGAGUAGGAGCCUAAGUUCAUCGAGUAUCUUGCUCUGAGCUCUAAAGGCACCUAUUGUCAUAAAGAUAUGAGAAGUUUAUUUUUCCUUUGGAUGCAACCAAUUUGUGAACACAUAUGGUCCCCCUAGUUGUGAGGUGAACUUAAGAUAAACUAUGUGUGAUAAAUGGUGCUGUCCAGUCCUCUUACUUAUGGACUAAUUAUUGUUUGUCUUGAGAAAAUGUAUAUAUAAUGGUCUGCAUCUGCUUAGUUAUAUAAAAGACAGAUUUUUUUCUGUCUUCAACCUCUUUGUCAAUUGCUCAUGAUGUUCAUCACACUCUGGUUUAAUGUUUAUUCAAUAAUAAAAUUGUUUGUCUUCUACCUCUGCAGAGAGCUUUUCUGGGCUAGGAAGAGAUUUUGGUUUUAAUUAUAUCCCCCUAACAAAGAUUCAUAGCUAAUUCCAUGUUUUUCACAUCUGAAGGCUUGUUUUCAAAAAUUUAUUUAAAGUUUUUCUGAAUUUCUAGUUAGCUAAAGCAAGCACUACAAGUUAAACUUACUCUCCCAGAGCAAUGGAGAAAAGAUGGAAUGAUGUUUUUAAGUGAAAUAUUUGACAUUUCUGCUCAUUUUUUAGAAACCAGAUGAUACAUAAGCCUGCAACUCACUACCUGGCAUUCAUCUGACAUACCUUCUUCAAUACCCACACUCAUCAUGCUAUUGUAUUUGUACCAAAUGUUUAAUCACCAUUCACUUUUCCUUAAUUUCUCUCUUAAAUGUCAACACAAUGAAGAAUGAACCUGCACAAUCCAUUAAAGAACAAAGCUAUAUAAAACAUUGUUAAUAAGUUACUUGAUAUCUGCAAUCAACUGCUUCCUUGCCUCUAACUCAUUUCGUAUGUAGAUUGUAUCCACUUUCUGUUGAUGAAUUAGCAGCUUUUACAAGUGAAUGGGCAGACAAGAGAAGCUAAAUUGGCUAAUAGACACACACACAGUUAGAAAAGUCAAUGUAUUUUGUGCAGUGAAGAGAUUUCUUUACAAUUCAAAGUAACGAACUAAAUUAUACAUAUUAACGUAAUGCAAUAUUUGUUAUUGGAUUGUUAUGCAUUUAAAUAUGCAAGAGAUACACUUUCUCAAUGUUGUGUUUCCAAAAAACUGCCAUAUUAGCUCAAUUCAAUUAAACAGUGGCCAUUAGCAGCA